rnacentral:rRNA from 1 species
CCUACGGGUGGCAGCAGUGGGGAAUAUUGCACAAUGGGGGAAACCCUGAUGCAGCGACGCCGCGUGAGUGAAGAAGUAAUUCGGUAUGUAAAGCUCUAUCAGCAGGGAAGAAAAUGACGGUAUCUGAGUAAGAAGCCCCGGCUAACUACGUGCCAGCAGCCGCGGUAAUACGUAGGGGGCACGCGUUAUCCGGAUUUACUGGGUGUAAAGGGAGCGUAGACGGGAGUGCAAGUCUGGAGUGAAAGGCGGGGGCUCAACCCCAGGACUGCACUGGAAACUGUACGGCUGGAGUGCAGGAGAGGUAAGUGGAAUUCCUAGUGUAGCGGUGAAAUGCGUAGAUAUUAGGAGGAACACCAGUGGCGAAGGCGGCUUACUGGACUGUAACUGACGUUGAGGCGCGAAAGCGUGGGGAGCAAACAGGAUUAGAUACCCCUGUAGUC